CUCUUUCCCUUCACGACGCUCUCAUCAUUUUCAUUUAACAAGUAGAUACAUAGCUCCAAAAGCUGAUCCGCAAACGGAGGAAUCCCAGGAUUGCGCCCAUCGUUAUAUUUGUGAGCACCGAAGGUGAUCUGCCAC